rnacentral:rRNA from 1 species
ACGCUCGACACCUACGGAGGCAGCAGUGGGGAAUAUUGCACAAUGGAGGAAACUCUGAUGCAGCGACGCCGCGUGAGCGAAGAAGUAUUUCGGUAUGUAAAGCUCUAUCAGCAGGGAAGAAAAAGGACGGUACCUGACUAAGAAGCUCCGGCUAAAUACGUGCCAGCAGCCGCGGUAAUCUGAGCGGGCUGGCAAGGC